AGUGAACGCUGGCGGCGUGCCUAAUACAUGCAAGUCGAACGGAGUGGCGCACGGGUGCGUAAUGUAUAGCUAAUCUGCCCUACACUAGAGGACAACAGUUGGCAACGACUGCUAAUACUCUAUAGUGUAGGAUGAGGCUAUAUUGUAUCAGCUAGUUGGUGAGGUAAUGGCUCACCAAGGCUAUGACGCAUAACUGGUCUGAGAGGAUGAUCCGUCAGCCAGGAAGUGAGACACGGUACAGACUCCGACGGGAGGCAGCAGUAGGGAAUAGUGCUCAAUGGGGGAAGCCCUGAGGCAGCAACGCCGAGUGGAGGAUGACACUUUUCGGAGCGUAAACUCCUUUAGUGAGGGAAGCGGUACCUAACGAAUAAGCACCGGCUAACUCCGUGCCAGCAGCCGCGGUAAUUC
rnacentral:rRNA from 1 species